rnacentral:lncRNA from 1 species
GUUCAAAAUUAAAAAUCCAUUACUGAAAUUAAUAUUGCAAACUGAACAUCUGUUUGAAAAAUUACUUUAGUUUGAAAAGCCUCUACUGUCUGAACAAGGAGUUGAUGGAACAAGUCUCCAACUAACUCUGACUAUUGAAAUUGAUAAACUAAGAUUCUAAAAUAAUAAUAAUGUCCUCAAACUAUGAGGAAUCACCACUAAAACUGUUGUUGAAAAUUCUGGGCUGCUAAGUGCGAUUGGGAGCCCGAAUGUCUUAACCUAUGAUAUAAGAUAUCAUAGCACAAAAGAAAAGUAUGCGUCAGUAAUUGAAAUGUAUUGGUAUGCUAAGUGAGACAAACUGAUAUGCAUGGAUUCAUAUGCAUGAACAAUACUGAUUGAAUGACAUGCGUAUAACUGAAUGAGAGUAUAUGAAUAAAUACAUAAAUUGUAACUAAAGUCAUGAUAACACUGGAUACUAAGUUCUGAAUACUGAUUAAUUGAUAUCUGAGUUUACUGACACUGUACUACUGAUAACUGAGUCACUGUAUCUAAUAGUCCUGAUUAUGUAGAAUAGUGCUGAGUUUCAUACUGAUCUGAGUGACUGUACCUGAUAGUCUAGACUGAGUUCUAUACUGAGACUGAAACUAAAACUGAAAUUAUAGAUGGUAAUCAUCUAACCGACAUGCCUCUUUUUAAACUAAUUUGGGUCCAACCUGUAAUCCCAGUGAGAAGGGUGUCAGUACCGUGCCACGAGUAAAGACAAGCUGUGAGUUAACCCUCUCUGACAGAAACCUCUUUCGUCAACCGUCGAUGGAAGGAAAACUCGUAUGAGAUAUAUAAACCCUAAUCUAACAGGAAUAUAUCUCAACCUACAUUGGAUACAUAGUUUUGUAACGCGAGGAUUGUUACUAAGGGUCAAAUCCUAUGCUGGUAGGAAUGCCCCCAUCCCUGGGUUUGCUCGGUACUGAAUCCUUCUCCCAACUGAAAGACACUGAAUUAAUUUCUAAACUAUUCUGGGCCUCACUGAACUGUUACUGAUCGUGCUGUCUAACUGAACUGGACUGAGUUCACUGAGUACUAAACUGAUUAUUGACUGAAUUUUGUAAAUUGGCUAAGUUUACUGAGUUCUGGACUGACUACUACUUGAUUCUGAACUGAAUACUACUGAGUUCUGAACUAAAGACUGAACUGAGACUAAUUACUGAGUACUACUGAAACUAUUCUUUAACUACUAUAGCUCUAGGUAAACAGCUAAGCUUUCGGGCAUUGAAUACCCCCAGGACUCGAUAGCAUGAAAUAAAUCAUAGCAUAAACAUGUAAAGCAUGACUAUGUGCACUUAAUCAUAACUUAUUCAUGGAGAUAUUUUAUCAAACACUUGAAAAGGUACCUCUUCUAAAGAGGUAUAAUUGAAAAGGUACAUCUUCUAAAGAGGUAUAACUAAAGGGUGCCUUUUAGAAGAGUCAGGAUAUAAAUAUCAUGUUCCCUAAGUUUGUACGCAAUUUUUUCUCUCUUUCUCUACCCCAUCUUAGAAAAGAGUACAAAAAGCGUAUUAAAACUUAGAAGAUCAUACAAUUAUUUUCUUAAGAAAAAAAGUCCCUCUACAAAUCAAGUUAUAGCAGUGGAACAAGGUUAGUAUUCUACUGUUCUUCUAGUUUUGAAUCUCUAUCUAAUGGUUUACAUGUGAUUUAGGGUGAAUUCUUUAAAGUUUUCAACAGCCCGUGCUAAGUACGGGCCCAGACUCACGAUGUAAAAAUAAUAACUAAAAUCUUAAAAUAUAAUUUAUAUCAUACUUUUUUUUACUUUAUAAUUAACAUAAUCUAAUGAAGAACAUGUUAAAUAAAUUUUCCUAGGUUAAUUUAUAAUUACUAAAGUUUUUAAUCAUAUAACUGGAUAUUUUUAAAUAAAAUUUUAAUUUGUGAGGAAGGAAGUAUUAUCGAAGAAUUAGAAUAUAUGAAAAUACCACAAGUAAUUCAAUAUUUUAUAAAAUAACAUAAUUUAAAAUAUGUUAAUAAUUACACUUUGAUGAAGAUCAUAAAUAUAAAAUAUUGAUAUUUUUAUGAAUUUGUGGAUAUGUAACUUCUUAGUUAUAGAUAGAAAUAGAUUUAUUUUAAUAUUUAUUGAUUUUUAAUUACAUUCAUAAUUUCAUGUGGCAUGACUUUUGCAAAAUUCAAUUUAUUUUAUCUUAUACGACAAAAUAUUUUAAUAACUUCAAGUAUAUAUAGGAAUAGUUACAACCUUAAUUUAUAGUCUUUACUCAAAUUAACUUAAUGAUGAUCUAUAAGGAUAUUAAAUAAUAGUUGAAUUGGAUUGAUAAAUUAUUUCAUUCGGUCAAUUUACCUAUCGUGUUUAUCUUUUACACUCACCAUAAAAGAAUAUUCUAUCCAUCUUCUUUUAACUAUUCAUUUAUCCUUUUUCAUACCCACUAAACAAAAUAAUAAAAAUAAUGUGUUAUUUAUUAUUUAUUAAGUUACCCUAUUUAUUACAUAAUUUUUAAGAAUUGAGCAAUUGAACAAUAUUAAAAGAACUAUAAAGGUUCUAGUUGGAAUUUAUUGCAAACUUUAAUUUUUUAUUAAAGUUAUUUUAAAUAUAACUCUUUUGAGCUAAAGUGAUUGUUAAUUUAAAAUGAAGUUUUAAUUAAAAGGUCAUCUAUUAGGUAGCAAGAAGAAACCAAUUACAAGAACACAAGUGGGAAUGAUUCUAACAACAGUAAUAAGGGCAAACAUAAAAAUAUUUAACAGAAAGAUGCCAUCAAUUUUCAUGGGUGAUAACUUAAUUCACUUAACUAAAGAAGUGAAAUACCUGCCCUUGUGACGACUACCAAAUUUGAUAUCGUUCCUUAUAUAGUAGUAAAAUUAGAGAAAGUGUAGUUAUACUAGCAAAAUCUUGAGGGAUUGAAUUCAACAACUUGUAACCUUCAAGAAAUAGUAGAAAGUGAUCACAACUAACAUUCCAAUGCUUAAAAUCCAAAUUUUUCUGGUGCAAGAACUUGAAGCAAGGUAACCUUUCCUUAACACUUCCCACUGCUCACCUAUAGAGGCACAAGAGAGAAGCAUGGGCAGCUGGGUAAAUAUUUCAACUACAUGGACAUUAAAGGCAAAUAAAGCUCAUUUGGACAAUUGUGGUUUAGAUUCCCUCGAUUUGUAGUGCACAAUUAACGAAAGGACUCAAAUUUCAGGAAUGCUAACAUGCUUCCGAAUUAAUUCAUGGUAGUCCAAGACAAAAUAAUUGCUAAAGAAAAGGACAUUGGAGUUGGGCCAAUCUUUCGAAGUUUAAUCAUAGGUCACAAUUUUCAUUAUUUCACAACUAAAGGAUUCUCCUUUAGUUGUAUUAUUGUUCUUGAAAUCAGAAUCCUUUAGUUGUAUUAUUGUUCUUGAAAUCAAGUUCUCUACCUAUUAGACAUGACUACUUCUCACAGUACCAUCCUUUACAUCUUCAUGUGCUUAUUAUUUUCUUAUUUUCGUUAACAAUCUCAUCAUUAGAAAAAACAGAAGCUAAAGCUCUUGUCAAAUGAAUGAAUUGUUAGACAUGUACAGCGAAAAUAAUUAACCAGGAUCAGUCCAACUAUAUAAAAACUAGAUAACAUAAUCAGAACAAGUUUCAACAAAAUUGCUAACCUAUUAAAGCAGGUGCAGAAUUUGUCCAAAGCAUUGUUCUCCAAGACUG